CAGUGCCUGGAUUAAUCGGAUCUCAGAAUAUCACUUUGAGUAAUAACAGUACAACGAAUACCCUCAGUGUGAACUGGAUAAACCCAGGAGGAAAAGUGGAUAAUUACACAGUAACUCUGAGUGGAGACGUCAAUAGAAAAAUCACAACUAAUUCUACACAAGUGAAUUUCACAGACUUACUGCCAGGCAGAAACUACUCCAUCACUAUACAGACAGUUAGUAGUAACUGCAGCCAGUCAGCAGGUCCAGUGAUAGAGGCAACAUGUGAGUAUGGUGGGAUCAUUGGAGCAGAGCUAUAUAUUUAUGUGGAAACAGCGGAGUACAUACUGUGGUCGCAGGGGUCGAGGCUGCGACCGGGCCCAUCACUCCAGGGACCCCUGUGACCGGGUAUCCAGCGCCAUCAUGUUCUGCGGCCCCGGCCCACGCGGCAAACCGCCGGGGCCGCCGUCCAAGGUGUCCAUCGGGUGGCCCAUGCUGUCAGGGCCAACCGAUAGAUGUGGAUUGUCAGGGGGCCCGGUCAGCGCUGGGCGCUUUAACAACACGACCGGGCCCCCUGUGAUGACAUCACAAGCUGGGAGGAAGUGACCGCUCGUCACUCCUCCCAGCUAACACUGAGAGCCGCGCAGGAGGAAGAACAGGGAGUCAGAGUGGGAACUCUGACUCCCAUCCACCUGAGCCACCACUGGACCCCAGGAAAAGUCACCCUCCUGCACCUUAAAGGUAGGAAACAGGAGGGUGACUUAAACAUUUUGUGUGUGUGUAUGUUUGUAUGUAUGUAUGUAUGUGUGUGCCUGUCUGCAUGUAUGUGUGUCUCUGUUUGUGUGUGUGUCUGCCUCUUUGUAUGUAUGUGUGUGCCUGUCUGUGUAUGUAUGUGUGUCUGUCUGUUUGUGUGUGUGUGUGUCUGUAUGUGUGUAUGUGUGCCUGUCUGUUUUUUAUGUAUGUGUCUUUGUAUGUAUCGUGUGUGUGUCUGUUUGUGUGCAUGUCUGUCUCUCUGUAUGUGUGUGUGUGUGUCUGUAUGUGUGCCUGUCUGUUUGUAUGUAUGUGUCUGUGUGCCUGUAUGUGUGCCUGUCUGUUUGUAUGUAUGUGUCUGUGUGUCUAUAUGUGUGCCUGUCUGUUUGUAUGUAUGUGUCUGUGUGCCUGUCUGUCUGUCGGUCUGUUUGUAUGUGUCUGUGUGUGUCUGUCUGUAUGUAUAUAUGUGUGCCUGUCUGUUUGUAUGUAUGUGUCUGUGUGGGGGGGAAAUGGGGAGGGGGGGGGCCCAUGGAUCAUUUUAGCACCGUUUGUGUGUACGCCACUGUGUGGAAAUCAUACAAAUUGAAUCCUAGUAAACCUUUUAGUAUGAUUUGUAUUCAGAUGCUAAAUUUAGAUUUUUUUUGAAUUUUAGGGGUUAUUCCUUAAGCAGUGGAUCUUGCACAAAACCCGAUUCUAUAACAAUUGUUUAGAUGUGUUUUGACAAUCUAAUUUACAGCAUUAUAAUCAGAGAUUUAUUAACAACUGCAUGGAGGCAGAUGAUAAACCGAAGGCAUCUGAAAGGGUGCAUGCUCACACAUUAUCAAUUACUUGUUUUUUGUAGCAGGGUUAAUUAUGUGGGGGCUGAUCAACAUUUGGUAGCCAGCCACCAUAUGAAAAUAGUAAAAAAAGAAAAAUAAUUAAAUAAUUAAAAAUCUUAUGGAGUCAAUAAAACCCCCAUACUGCUAUUAUGGAGGUUGUAAACCUCCAUAUGCUCCAACUUGCAAACUCCCAUAUGGGGGCUUGUUGCCUAAACCUUACAAAAAUGGUGAUGUGGCCUGCAAAAAAUAAAGUGGGAUGAUAGUCCCACUAAUGCACCCACUCAUGGGUAUCUGGUGGAGGCUACUUUAAAAAUUAAUGGUGCAUGAUGCCGUGUUCCUCCCACCCAUGGGCAGCAGGAGGGGGUCCUAAUAUUAAUACUAAAGGGGCAGGACCUCUUGUCCACUUACUCUGGCCCCCAUCCAUGGGCAGCAGAUGUGGGCACAAAUUAAGUAUAAAAUUAUAGAAAUCGCCCAGGUGGCUAGGGGUGCGAAGUCUUCUUUCUUCUAAUUCCUCUGUUCUUCAGCCCUAAAUAAAAAUCCAGAAUACCCGACACCACUAAUUAAAAUAAAUAAAGGCCUGAUCAGAAAAAAAAAAACUUGAAGGGAUCAAAGCACGUUGCAAAAACAAAUGGAGGGCUCGUCCCAGACUGAACUCAGAUACCGCUGAAAACGCUUAUAUAGGUGUGGAAAGAUUUCCGGUACUUUGCAAUAUGACCACGAGUUCUCUGAUUGGUAGUCUCAAGAGAAUUUCCAGUAGGCAAACAGUUUGGAUUUUGGAAAUAUCCAGGCCCAAAUUUAACAGUUAAAACCAAUGGGGCCAAAUGUAAUUAUUUCACUCCGAAUUCAAUCCAACAGGCAGUGUUUCGUCCGGCUGAUACCCAGACCUAAUUCGAGCCCAUUUGUGAGGUGAUUUACAGUAUCUGCACUUUGAUGAAAUUAAUGAACAGUUUCCAGAUUUUGCAGUAUGAAUAACCUCAUAAAGAAAUGGAUGGUUUAGCCCCAUUCAGUACUUGCUCAUUGUGACAUUAGCGAAUAACCCUGUUUGUUAUUAAAAUAUUGAUUCCUGUAACAAUUUUCUAUAUAUUUUUUAUUUUUUUAUAGAUCCGACCCCGCCAUUUUCUUUAAGCUUAACUAGCAGCGGAACAAACAACAUUUCAUUGUCCUGGGGAGAACCAGUGAAUAUGACCAAUAUAUCAAAAACCUUUAAUAUAACUUACAGCAAUUCUUCAUCCUCUUGGACUGCGACAGUAAACUCAUUAAGUGCCACCCUUCAGAACCUCACAUCUGGGACUAAUUACACAAUCACUGUAGUAACAGUUGGUGCUCGGCAGUAUCAGAGUUCUCCAGUGACCAUAUCAGCGUUCACAAGUAGGUUUACACGGUGAUGUAUUUGUUUUACACUGUGCUAGGCGAGGUCCAGCUGAGUCAAUGCACCCCCCCAGUAUACCCACACAUAACAUAUCAACCUAUAUUUAGCCACUCAUGCAUUAAGUUGUUUGGAUAAAAAGUCGACAUUUUCUUUAAGGUAGUAUGUUUUAAAGUGUGUUCUUCAUUUAUUUUUGUAUUAGGAAAAUUACUAAAAAAAAAAACUUUUUCAAACAUAAUUUUCUUAUAAAAUGAUUUAUAUCCAAAAAUGAUUCGAAUUUGUUAAUGUCACAACUUGGAGCAUAUUUGAAACCUUUAUUUAAAACUUGUUUAUGUGAAUUAGUUAAAAAAAAAUCCUGACAAAUUAAAAAUUUCUACACUCUGCUCUUUUUCUUUAAAACAUAUCUCCUCCAUAUUUUUACUUCUCUUCUCUUCUUUUCUAUUUUCUAUUUCCCCCUCUUCUAGUUCCCUGUGUCUUUUUAUUGGGGAAUAUACUUUCCCUUUUCUCUCUGUCAUUUGGGGUAAAUCCUGAUCUAAAUUUCUAAAUCUUUCAAAACGAAUAGUAUAGUGGAUUUUUUGCAUGCACAAAUCUGUACAGUUUUCGAGGAAAACAUUUCUUUUAUAUCAUUCUGCACUAUAAGGAAACAGAUUCCGCCAAAUAACUAGACAGUACUGGUAUUGCUAAGGAAUACAGUUGAAUGCAACUAGUAGUAACUGGAAUAUAUAAUUACAAAGAAUGCCCUCGAAAAAUAAUAAGAAAGUCAAACAAGGAGCCGUCUGUUGGCUCGAUUGUAUCUGUUUCUGACAAUAUAAUCCUUGUCACAGGAUAUUAGCUGAAGAAUCACAAAAAGGUAUUUGUAGCAACAUUGGUACGUCUUACAUUAUCUUCACAGCAUACGCAUCUCACAUGGAAUACAUAAAAAGGGGAUCCAACAGUGCAACUCAAUAGUGCAACUCACCCAGUGUGUAUAUAAAAAGAGAAUACAAUGCACUCACAAAUAAAGAGCUUCCAAUUCAGCUCUUAGUAAGAUCUUAAAGUGGUAUGAUCCCUGCUAACGCAUAUAACUUGUAAAGGAUGUUUCUCCGUAUUUUCCAAUGGGUAUAUAGUAAUAGAUGGAAAAAAAGGAGAAUAGUGCUCUCUAUUUGUAUUGGAAAAUACAAUGUGUAAUUAAAAGUAAAUUGUACUCACAUUUAAAGGAGCAUAUACAUGCUCGUUGAAAUCAGCGUGGGUGGUACAAUCCCCACCUGGGAUAUCUAAGUAGAUAAAAUGCUGUGCUAUCAGCAGGUAUUUUCCAAGAAUGAUAAAAUAAUCAAGGAUAAAAUAAAAUAAAAAGCGGGACCAAAUAAAAUUAAAUAUGUUGAACAGCAAAAUCCACUUAAAUUAAAAUUUAAAAUUACAUUAUUUAUUUAAAAAAAAUAAAUAUAUAUAUAAUUUAAAAUUUUAAGUCAAGUGGAUUCCAUUGUUGCUUUUAUCUAUUGUACAGUGUUGCAGAAUAGGUUGGCGCUAUAUAAAUAAUUGUAAUUGUCAUGAACUAAGCUAUAACUUAUAAUAAAUCACGUUUUAUUUUCUCGCUCUAGAACCGAACGCAGUGAAACUCCCCAGAGACAAUGGCAAAACAUCAUAUUCUGUUUCCCUGAUGUGGGAUCAACCUGACGAGUACAAGGCUGAAUAUAAAUACAGAAUACUAACAGCAAAUUCAUCAUCUGUCGUGAUAAAUGAAAUUAUUGUGACAAAUCAAACUGUUAAUAUAACUAAUCUGACACCUGGGGAGACAUAUACAUUCACUGUAUUUACAAGAGCGGCUGAUAAUGUCACUGAAAGUCAAUCUGUCUCAUAUACAACCUGCACAGGUGAGUACAGACUGAUCUCUUUAGGGGGAGAAUUGUGGAUAUGGUCAUUAUAGCAGGUAAAGAGACUUAAAGUGUAUUGAAAAUAUGGUUUGAGGAUUUUCUCUGUCUUUCUUUUCUAUCCUAUUUUUCCUUUCGAUUUGUGUGAUUUCUAUUCUGAUUUGUUUCAGUUCCGGGUCUGGCUCAGAAUAUCACAGUAAAUAAUAAGAAUACUACUAAUUCACUCAGUGUGAACUGGACAAUACCAGCAGGGAAAGUGGAUAAUUACACCGUCACUCUGAAUGGAGACGUCAAUAAAAUAAUCACAACUAAUUCUACACAAGUGGAUUUCACAGACUUACUGCCAGGCAGAAACUACUCCAUCACUAUACAGACAGUUAGUAGUAACUGCAGCCAGUCAGCAGCUCCAGUGACAGAGGCAACAUGUGAGUAUGAUGGGAUCAUUGGGACAGAGCUAUUUGCUUAUAUGCAAAUCAUACACAUUAAAUAAAAUGUAGUGACACAAAUUAAGAUAUUCUAUCAUCUGUUUUCUGAUAUUAUUGGAUUAUUUUCAGAUGUUGGUUAUAAAAAUCUUUGUAUAAUUUUUUUUCUUCUUCUUUCAUAGAUCCGACCCCUCCAGCGUCCUUAAGCUUUACAAAUAUCGGAACAAAUGCCAUACCAUUGUCCUUGGGAGAACCAGUAAAUAUGACCAAUGUGACAAAGUCUUUCAAUAUAAUUUACAGCAAUUCUUCAUCCUCUUGGACUGUGACAGUAAACACGUUAAAUGUCACCCUUCAGAACCUCACGUCUGGGACUAAUUACACAAUUACUGUAGUAACAGUUGGUGCUCGGCAGUAUCAGAGUUCUCCAGUGACCAUAUCAGCGUUCACAAGUAGGUUUUCACAGUGAUUUUUUUUUUUUGACUGUUAUUUACAUCAAUUAUUUAAUUUUUUUUUUUAUUUAUUAUAUUUUUAUUUGAAUUUUUACUUCAAGUACAAGUAACAUGAAUAAGCAGUUCACAUAUAUCCAUGUAAAAUAACAACAUAAAAAAAACACCUUUAAACAUACUGUGCAAUCUAAUACUUAAGAGGGGCAUGUUUACAUUCUGGAUGAUCGGGGCAGAGUGGUUUAUGCAAUAAAUAUACUUUCUUUUAGACCGAUGAAUAAGCUCUAGAUUGUAUUAAACCAUUUCCAUUCCAUUUUGUCAAGGCUAUGUGGUGCAUAAGCCUUUAUAUAUGUACCACAGGAAUCUCAACCAAAAAUGUACGUCCAGAUGAAUAGAACAGAAACACAUUUACAAGGUGUAUAACCAUAGCAUCGAUCUUACACAAUACAUUUGCCCAGCACCAUAUAGGAUAAUUGUUGCUUCCCUUUUCUCACAGCUGCCAAAAUCAAAAAACAAGAAAAAAGAGAGUUUGGGGUAUUUACAUAGGUCCCAUAUACACAGAAAGCGUGUUAUGAAAACAAGGAAAAUCUAUACAUUGGCUGGCCAUCACAUAAUAAAAGAUAUAAUGUAUGUCUCGUUCAUCCACACUAAGUGACUGCCAUCACAGUGUAUUCAAUGUGCACGCCAGUGUGUAACUAUGGAUAUACUUUCAUGUAGUGCAUGAAGAACCCACUGACCCCCUAAUUUCUUCAGGUACGUGGACUGAAGUAUUGUGGGCAGUGUAUAACCACUCUAAUCGUUCCCCUGUGUAUAUAGCUCCCAAGGGUGCCAAGUCGAGUGGAACAGAUGGUAUUUGCCUAAGUUGGACAUUCUCAGUUCCUCCAUCUUGUGUAUAUUAUCUAUUUUGAGGAACCAGUCUCUCCUUAAGGGUCUGGUCUGGGAUUUCCAAUUCCCCGCUAUUACUGUCUUUGCUGUCGACAGGAGAUAGUACAAGAGUUAACGUUUAAAUUUGUUUUGAGAAAUUGGAAUGUGAAAGAAAAGUAGCGUCUCUGGUUUAAACGCCAGGGGUACUUUGCUAAGUUGUUCAGUUACUCGCGCCACUUCCCGCCAGAAGCCCACUACCCCUCUGCAGUGCCACCAUAUAUGUUGAUAUGUUCCCUAUUCCUUCCCGCAUCUCCAACAAAAGGGAGAGUAUUGUGAAUUAUAUUUGUUGGCAUCUACUGGUGUGAUAUACCAUUUUGUGAGAAAUUUGAAGUUAGUCUCUUGCAAUGGUAUGUUUGGGUGGGUUUUCAGCAUUUUCUUGAGAAUAUGGGACCAGUUGAAGUCAUCUAAUGGAGUAGAGAGCCAACUAUGCGAGGCUUUAGUGUACCAUGGAAGAUUUGCAUUCCCUGAUAAUUGUAGCAUUUGGUAGCAUUUAGAUAUUAUUUUCUUUGAUAUGGGUUUUGUGCAUAUUUUUUUCAAAGGUUGUUUCUUCUCUAGGUGACCAAUUUAGUAACUUCUCUUUACUCAGAAAGUGUUUGAGUUGAUAGUAUUGGAGUGUUUGCAACAUGGUCUGGUUUUUGGAGUCUGAGAGGUCCUUCAGGAGUUUCAACCCUUCGGACCCCAUAACCUCACCUAGUUCUAUGUAUUUCUCUUUCGACGGGAUCGCCCCUGAGGGACCCAGAAUAUAUCCUAAGUCCAUAUGGAAUAAUGGGUUGUGUGAUAUUGGGUAUUUGAUAGGUAUUGUGUUGAGUAAAUAUAAUAUGCGUGGGAGUAUAGUCAUCGUAAUGAUGUUGAUACGUCCCAUCCACCUAAAAUGUGGUUUAUCCCACGCUUCUAAAUCCGACCUUAUUGAGGAAAUCAGGCUUGGGAAGUUGGCUGAGUAUAGUGUGUGGGGAGAAUUAGUUAUCUGUACCCCCAGAUAUUUAAUGGAGGUUGUAGCCCACAUGAAUGGGUAGGAGCUUUGUAGUCUUAUAACUUGGUUUGUAGGGACAUUUAUAUUUAGGAUUUCACAUUUCUCUAUAUUGAUUUUAAAGUUGGUGAGAUCACUAUAUCUGUUUAAAACAUUCAUUAAGGAGGGCAGACUUGUCAUGGGAUUUUCGAUGGUAAAUAGAAAGUCAUCCGCGAAUGCUGAUACUUUAUAUUCCCUAUUCCUUACUUUAAUGCCUCGUAUGUCAGAUCUUCUGCAUACUUCCUGUAAGAGGGGCUCUAGAGUCAAGAUAAAUAAGAGGGGUGAUAGGGGGCAACCUUGGCGGGUACCAUUGCUGAUCUUGAAAGGCCUAGAUAGUUGCCCAUUCACCUUCAACCGCGCAGUUGGAGCUGAAUAGAUUGCCUUGAUCCAUGUGAGCCAUCUAUUCCCAAAGCCCAGAGCUUCUAAAGUGAGUAUAAGGAAUGACCAGUCCACCCUGUCGAAGGCCUUCUCCGCGUCUAUUGAUAACAUGAGAGAAGGUGUCCGGGAUUUAGAGGCUAAAUGUAUCAGGUUGAUAAUUUUGGUAGUGUUGUCUUUUGCUUCUCUUGCUGGGACAAAGCCGGCCUGGUCAGGGUGGACUAGUUCUGUCAGAAACAUAGAAACAUAGAAUGUGACGGCAGAUAAGAACCAUUCGGCCCAUCUAGUCUGCCCAAUUUUCUAAAUACUUUCAUUAGUCCCUAGUCUUAUCUUAUAGUUAGGAUAGCCUUAUGCCUAUCCCACGCAUGCUUAAACUCCUUUACUGUGUUAACCUCUACCACUUCAGCUGGAAGGCUAUUCCAUGCAUCCACUACCCUCUCAGUAAAGUAAUACUUCCUGAUAUUAUUUUUAAACCUUUGUCCCUCUAAUUUAAGACUAUGUCCUCUUGUUGUGGUAGUUUUUCUUCUUUUAAAUAUAGUCUCCUCCUUUACUGUGUUGAUUCCCUUUAUAUAUUUAAAUGUUUCUAUCAUAUCCCCCCUGUCUCGUCUUUCCUCCAAGCUAUACAUGUUAAGAUCCUUUAACCUUUCCUGGUAAGUUUUAUCCCGCAAUCCAUGAACCAGUUUAGUAGCCCUUCUCUGAACCCUCUCUAAGGUAUCAAUAUCCUUCUGAAGAUAGGGUCUCCAGUACUGUGUACAAUACUCCAAGUGAGGUCUCACCAGUGUUCUGUACAUGAGCACUUCCCUCUUUCUACUGCUAAUACCUCUCCCUAUACAACCAAGCAUUCUGCUAGCAUUUCCUGCUGCUCUAUUACAUUGUCUGCCUACCUUUAAGUCAUCAGAAAUAAUCACCCCUAAAUCCCUUUCCUCAUAUGUUGAGGUUAGGACUCUAUCAAAUAUUCUGUACUCUGCCCUUGGGUUUCACGUCCAAGAUGCAUUAUCUUGCACUUAUCCACAUUAAAUGUCAGUUGCCACAAUUCUGACCAUUUUUCUAGUUUACCUAAAUCAUUUGUCAUUUGGCUUAUCCCUCCUGGAACAUCAACCCUGUUACAUAUCUUAGUAUCAUCAGCAAAAAGACAUACCUUACCAUCAAGACCUUCUGCAAUAUCACUAAUAAAAAUAUUAAAGAGAAUGGGUCCAAGUACAGAUCCCUGAGGUACCCCACUGGUGACAAGUCCAAGCUUCGAAUAUAUUCCAUUAACUACAACCCUCUGUUGCCUGUCACUCAGCCACUGCCUUACCCAUUCAACAAUAUUGGAAUCCAAACUUAAAGAUUGCAGUUUAUUGAUAAGCCUUCUAUGUGCAACAGUGUCAAAAGCCUUACUGAAAUCUAGGUAAGCAAUGUCUACUGCACCACCCUGAUCUAUAAUUUUAGUUACCCAAUCAAAAAAAAAAAUCAAUAAGAUUAGUUUGGCAUGAUCUCCCUGAAGUAAACCCAUGUUGUCUCUGAUCUUGAAAUCCAUGUGUUUUUAGAUGUUCAUCAAUCCUAUUCUUUAACAUGGUUUCCAUCACUUUCCCCACUACUGAAGUAAGGCUUACUGGCCUAUAGUUGCCUGACUCCUCCCUAUUACCUUUCUUGUGAAUGGGCACAACAUUAGCUAACUUCCAAUCUUCUGGGACUACUCCUGUUAACAAUGAUUGGUUAAAUAAAUCUGUUAAUGGUUUUGCUAGUACACCACUAAGCUCUUUUUAAUAGCUUUGGGUGUAUUCCAUCAGGUCCCAUUGACUUAUUUGUCUUUACUUUUGACAGUUGAAAUAGAACCUCUUCCUCUGUAAACUCACGUGUAAUAAAUGACUCAUUUAUCUUUUUUCUCAACUGAGGUACCUUUCCUUCAUUUUCAUCUGUAAAUACAGAACAAAAAUAUUAAUUGAGGCAGUCAGCUAGACCUUUAUCCUCUUCUACAUACCUUCCUUCUUUUGUUUUUAAUCUAACUAAUCCUUGUUUUACUUUUCAUUUCUCAUUUAUGUAUCUAAAAAUGUUUUAUCCCCUUUUUUACUGACUGUGCUAUUUUCUCUUCUGUGUGUGAUUUGGAAGCUCUUAUAACUUGCUUAGCCUCUUUCUGCUUAAUCUUAUAGAUCAUUUUGUCUUCCUCACUCUGGGUUUUUUUGUAAUUCCUAAAUGCUAACUUUUUGUUUUUAACUAUUUUGGCCACAUCUGCGGAGUACCACAGUGGUUUCUUGAAUUUUUUGCUUUUACUGACAAACCUAAUGCAAUUUUCUGUUGCCUUCAAUAGUGCAACUUUUAAAUAAUCCCAUUUCUCUUGGACUCCAUUUAAAUUGUUCCAGUCUGAUAAUGACUCCUCUACCCAUAUUCUAAUUUUAGAAAAGUCUGUUUUUCUAAAGUCUAAAACUUUUGUUUUUGGGUGGUGUGACUCAGUCACUGUUCUUAUAUUAAACCACACUGACUGAUGAUCACUGGAUCCUAAACUUUCACCUACAGUAACAUCUGAUACCAAAUCUCAAUUUGUUAACACUAAAUCUAGUAUGGCCUCUUUACGAGUUGGCUCCUCAACAACUUGUUUUAGAGACAAUCCCAGUAGGGAGUUUAGAAUAUGUGUGCUCCUGGCACAAGUAGCUAAUUUUGUUUUCCAAUUUACAUCAGGAAGAUUAAAGUCACCCAUGAUGAUAACUUCCCCUUCAUUGUCAUUUUAGCUAUUUCCUCAACUAGUAGAUUAUCUAACUCUUCAAUUUGUCCUGGGGGCCUAUAAAUCACACCUACACGAGUUACUGUGUGAUUACCAAAUUCUAACGUAGCCAAAACGGACUCUAUGUUUGCCUCACUAGCUUUUAUUAGGCUAGAUUUUAUGCUAUCCUUCACAUACAAGGCCACCCCUCCCCCUUUCUUGCCUUCCCUAUCUUUCCUAUAUAAAGAGUACCCUGGUAUUGCUAUGUCAGUCAUUUUUCUCAUUAUACCAUGUCUCAGUAACAGCGACUAAAUCUACACUAUCAGUUGCCAUUAUUGCCACAAGUUCUUGGAUCUUAUUCCCUAAACUGCGAGCAUUUGUAGACAUGACUCUAAGCUUAUCAUUUUUUAACACACUUGCUACAGGCACCUUCUGUCCUUGUUUUGGGGGACAAUUGGAUUGAUGUUUUAUCACCCUUUUGCCCCCCCCUCCUAGUUUAAAUACAUCCUAGCAAAACCUCUGAACUGCUCACUGAGAACAUUUGUUCCCUUUUGAGAAAGAUGCAAACCAUCUUUUUUGUACAGCUUAUCUCCAUUCCAAACAGAGCUGCCAUGAGAAAUAAAGCCAAAUCCUUGCUCCCGACACCAUUCACCAAGCCACAAAUUAAAGUCCCUAAUACGCAUCCGCCUGUCGUUUUGAGUGUUAUGCACAGGCAGAACUUCAGGGAAUGACAGUGUGGAAGCAACCUGCCAUAUAUCAUUGGCAAAAACACUAAAAACUUCCUUAACCUCUGAAACCUCAUUGCAAGCCAAGUCAUUUGUCCCUAGAUGGAUAAGUACAUCCAAUUCCCCUUCCUGCUUUGCUUGCUUAACAAUAUUACAGAUACGUCUCCUGUCUCUGUGAGCAGUAGCUCCGGGAAGACACCUCACAAGACCACCAUUGUCCAUCUCCACACCUCUUAUAAUGGAAUCCCCCAACAACAACAGCUUUCUAUUAGGCCUCACCAUAGUCUCCAAGUCGGUCUCCACAACACCACUAGUCUGAGUGCCUCUCUCCACAAUACCACUAGCCUCAGUGCCUCUCUCCACAACACCACUAGCCUCAGUGCCUCUCUCCACAACACCACUAGCCUCAGUGCCUCUCUCCAUAACACCACUAGCCUCAGUGCCUCUCUCCACAACACCACUAGCCUCAGUGCCUCUCUCAGGAAGGGCCUCAGCCUAGAUGCCAUCAUUUUGGUGAGAAUCUUGACGUCCACAUUUAUGAGCGAUAUAGGUCUAUAGCUCGCGCACCUCUCUAGGUCUUUCCCUGGUUUAGGCAAAAGGGUUAUGGACACCUCUAGUGUUUGUUGGGGUAUUGUAUGUCCUGAUGGGAUGGAAUUUAUUGCCUCUAGAAAGUGACCCAUUAGUUUCUUUUGGAAUGUCUUAUAAUAUAUGGCUGAAAAUCCAUCUGGGCCUGGGCUUUUGUUAAGGGGGGCUUGUUUAAUGGCCAUCUGUAAUUCAGCCAAGAAGAAUGGCUGGCUCUUCUAGAGAUCUGGUGGCCGCCGCAGGUAGAGUAGUGUCAAAUUUGUCUGCUAGAUAUGACGUGAUUUCCUCGAUUUUGGGGGCCCUGUUCUGUAAGUUGUAUAAGGUGGUGUAGUAUUCUCUGAAGGACUCUGCUAUGUCCUCUGUGGUGGAUGCUAACGUGUUAUUGGCACGUUUUAUCCUAGGAAUGUAAGUCUGAGAUUGCUUUUGUUUCAGAGCUUGAGCAAGUAAUUUGCCACUCCUGUUUCCCUGAGAGUAAUAUAAGUGUUUGGUCCAUAGUAGGGCCUUUUUAGCAUUGUCUAGGAGGAGUGAGUGGAGUUCCUUUCUUAAUGCUAUAAGUGCUCGGAAUAUGGGAUCUGUAGGGUUAUGUUUGUGUGUUUCCUCUGUUGUUCGGAUCUCCCCCAGUAACUCUGCGAUCCGUUUGUGUUUGUUUUUUUGGGUUUGUGCGCCCCAUUUUAUUAGUUCCCCCCGAAUCUUCUCAGUGAUUUAUUUAUGUUUGACACUGCACUGGGUCCAGUUGAGCCAAUGCACCCCCCAGUAUUCUCACACAUAACAUAUCAAUCAUUCACAUGCCUAUAUUUAGCCACUCACGCAACAGUUUUGUCAUACAUUCACAAAUAAACAAGAUACAAAGAUAAACAUACAAGUUUGGUCUUGCUGUUUUAUACAAAAUGCUGAAAUAGACAAGCACACACAGACAUGCACAAACACAAAAAUACAGACACACAAAGAUUACCUAUUCUCACCCACCCCCUUGUUUCCUUCUCAUAUCCCACAUUUUAUCACCCCUUCCUCCCAUCUCUCUCUGUCUUGGUUGCUGUAGUGACAUGGUGCUAUUUGCAUACGAGAAAUAUUGCAUAGCUUCACAGAAGACUCAUCCUACAUUUUCCAUUCACGAGUGUCACCCAUUACUGCUCAUGUCUAGAGUCAGUAUUCCCAGGAAAUGUAUAGCUUGACCACAGCUAUAAAGGCACAACCAUUCUCUUCCCCCUUUAGCAUACAGUUCUAAACCUCAGCAUCAAGGAACAUUCAGAGCAUCAAAACAACUUAAAUGCAUCUCGUAUCAUCUGGCAUUAAUAGUGUUGUGUAUUUUUUGCAUGUGCAAAUGUGUACAGUUUUUGCAGAAAAACGGAAAUAUUUUGUAUCAUUCUGCACUGUUAGAAAACAGGUUGCGCCAAAUAACUACACAGUACUGGUAUUGCUAAGGAAUACAGUUGUAUGCAAGUAGUAGUAACUGGAAUCUAUAAUUACAAAGAAUGCCCUCGAAAAACCAUAAGAAAGUCAAACAAGGAACCGUCUGUAGGUUUGAUUGUAUCUGCUUCUGACAAUAUAAUCCUUGUCACAGGGUAUUAGGUGAAGAAUCAGAACAAGGUCUUUGUAGCGACACUGGUACGUCUUACAUUAUCUUCACAGCAUACGCAUCUCACAUGGAAUACAUAAAAAGGGGAUCUCAAUAGAACAAACCCAGUGUGUAUAUAAAAAGAGAAUAAAAUGCACUCACAAACAAAGAGCUUCCAAUUCAGCUCUUAGUAAGAUCUUAAAGUUGAAUAAUCCCUGCUCACGGAUAUAAUUUGUAAAGGAUGUUCCUCUGUAUUUUCCAAGGGUAUAUAGUAAAAGAUAGAAAUAAGGAGAAUAGUGCUCUCUGUAUUGGAAGAUAAAAUAUGUAAGUAAAAUAAAUUGUACUCACAUUUAAAGGAGCAUAUACAUGCUUGUUGGAAUCAGCGUGGGUGGUACAAUCCCCACCUGGAAUAUGUAAGUUGAUCAAAUGCAGCACUGUCAGCAGGUAUUUUUCAAAAAUUAUAAAAUAAUGAAGGAUAAAAUUAAAUAAAAAGUAGGACCAGAUAAAAUUAAAUAUGUUGAAUGGUAAAAUUCACUUUAAUGAAAAUUUUAAAUUACAUUGUUGUUUUUUUAAAUAAAAAUUUUUUUACCAAACAAAUAUUAAACGAUAAAUGCAUUAAAUACUUAACAAAUGGUUAAAAUCACAACACAUUUGGCAGAGAUGGCUUUUUUAAGUGACAAAGCUAUCUGGGCGAAACGCGUCGUGAUUUUAGCAGAUUGUUAAGUUUUUUUGUUUUAAUUCAAAAAAAAUAUUUAAAAAUAAUAAUUUCAUUUUAAAUUUUAAUUAAAGUGGAUUUUACCAUUCAAUAUUCAGUUUGGCUGGCUAUUCUGGUUUAAGAUUUGAAAGUUACUUUGAAUUCCCCAAAGAUCUGUGCAGGUUUAGAGUAUUAAACAGUGUUUCACUUUGAGAUGAAUACCGAUAGCUGAAUUGCCGUUACGCCCAACUGCAGGCCCUGUCUGCAAGAUAGAAGCUCAAUUCGCCAGUUGCCAGCAUGCAAUGCUGUCUGUCGACAGACGUAUUUUAUGCACAAUAUUGACAUUAGGCAGCCCGGGUUUAACUAGCACUAAAGUACGGAGAUCUCAGUAUGUGCAGUGCUGCAGAAAUGCUGCACAUACACACUCCUACAACCAUGACCACUUCAAAUCACUAAAAUACUAAGGGUGGCUGGGCUUUUAUUGUUGGUCUUUUUAAUCUAUUGUACAGUGCUGCAGAAUAUGUUGGCGCUAUAUAAAUAAUUGUAAUUGUCAUGAACUUAGCUAUAACUUGAAAGAAAAUCAUGUUUUAUUUUCUCGCUCUAGAACCAAACACAGUGAAACUCCUCAGAGACAAUGGCAAAACAUCAUAUUCUGUUUCCCUGAUUUGGGAUCCACCUGACGAGUACAAGGCUGAAUAUAAAUACAGAAUACUAACAGCAAAUUCAUCAUCUGUCGUGAUAAAUGAAAUUAUUGUGACAAAUCAAACUGUUAAUAUAACUAAUCUGACACCCGGAGUAACAUAUACAUUCACUGUAUUUACAAGAGCGGCUGAUAAUGUCACUGAAAGUCAAUCUGUCUCAUAUACAACCUGCACAGGUGAGUACAGACUGACCUCUCUAGGGGGAGAAUUGUGGAUAUGGUCAUUAUAGCAGGUAAAGGGGACUUCAAGUGUAUUGAAAAUAUGGUUUGAGGAUUUUCUCUCUCUUUCUUUUCUAUCCUAUUUUUCCUUUCGAUUUGUGUGAUUUCUAUUCUGAUUUUUUUCAGUUCCGGGUCUGGCUCAGAAUAUCACAGUAAAUAAUAAGAAUACUACUAAUUCACUCAGUGUGAACUGGACAAUACCAGCAGGGAAAGUGGAUAAUUACACAGUCACUCUGAGUGGAGACGUCAAUAAAAUAAUCACAACUAAUUCUACACAAGUGGAUUUCACAGAUUUACUGCCAGGCAGAAACUACUCCAUCACUAUACAGACAGUUAGUAGUAACUGCAGCCAGUCAGCAGCUCCAGUGAUAGAGGCAACAU